rnacentral:rRNA from 1 species
GACGAACGCUGGCGGCGUGCUUAACACAUGCAAGUCGAGCGGUAAGGCCCUUUCGGGGGUACACGAGCGGCGAACGGGUGAGUAACACGUGGGCGACCUACCCUCAGCUUCGGGAUAAGCCUGGGAAACUGGGUCUAAUACCGGAUAUGACCUUCCCUCGCAUGGGGGUUGGUGGAAAGUUUUUUCGGCUGGGGAGUGGGCCCGCGGCCUAUCAGCUUGUUGGUGGGGUGAUGGCCUACCAAGGCGACGACGGGUAGCCGGCCUGAGAGGCGACCGGCCACACUGGGACUGAGAUACGGCCCAGACUCCUACGGGAGGCAGCAGUGGGAAUAUUGCGCAAUGGGCGGAAGCCUGACGCAGCGACGCCGCGUGGGGAUGACGCCU